ensembl:lncRNA
UGAGUGUGUGUGUGUGUGUGUGUUUCCUCGAAUGUUCAUUUGGUGGCGCUGUGGCUCCUGUUUGGCCACUUUGAUUGAAAGACUGCGAAUGGAGAAAAACGCAGAACUUAAUCCAUUGGCAUCAGAUCCUGUGUAUGUCUAGCUGUGCAUCAUGGAAAGAAAGGUGUCAAAACUUAAUGCAACUAAAUACAGACAUAAGAAUGAUCAGAAAACUCAAGCAAGCAACUUAAAAAACAAAACAAAAAACAAAGGAACAAACUCAGAGAGGCAGAGGACACCGCUGAACAGCUGAUCUGCCGUUAGCUGCGUAAAUUUCCCUCACGGUGAGCAGCUCCCAGAGCCCAGCUGAAUUAAUCACAGCCACACGGACGCGGGGGAGGGGUGGGGGGCAGCCUGAGGAUGAGGACGGAGAGAAGGGUAGAAGAACCCGUGCUGUGAGAAGAGGUCAGAGCUGGAACAUCCAUGGAGUGAAAGGUCUGACAGUAAGAGCAAUGAAGGUGAAGUUCCCUGAAGUAGCUGCAGAAGUCACCAAACUCAAUUAAGAGAUAUGACAUGGCUUGGUGAACAAUGUUCUCAGAAGAUUAUAGCAACUCAUUCAAGGAAAUGCAUCGACAUGGGGCAGAAAGCUGCUCGUAAAGCAAUUUCACAGCAAAUUUGUGGUUGGAUCCGGAUAUGUUUUCAGUCGUAUUUUUUAAAUGCAGUACAGGCAAAGCUUUCCGCUCUCACCCGCUGUGCGCUUCACUCUGCUGAAGCCCGACUCAUUUUCUUCCCACCUCACAUAGACACAGGAUGAAGUCGAGCAGAAACAACAAGACUGAGGAUCAGCGGAGGUCCAGCACACUGGGCUCAUGUCUCCUCUCUGUGGCCUUGUAUUUACCGCUCUGACAACUUUUCUAUUUAACUGGGGGGUUUUUCUACAUAUGCACUCUUAUUUUCAAGGAUUCUCCAAUGUGAGGGUUGCUGCGGCUGCUGCUGGCGCGUGUUUGUAUGUUUAGUGACCGGUUGUGUGAUUUCAGCUGGAAUAAACUCUGUCUGAC